ensembl:lncRNA
GAGCGUUGAGCCCUGAACUGAGAAGGAGACGUGUGGUCUCCUCUCCUCCCCCUGGGUGGGUGGGGAGGCUUCACAGGUUCAGGCCGGCGCUGACCGCUCACAUCUGCUUGCGGGUCGUGGAGGGUCUGCCAAUGUGCUGUUUCUGGAAGCCUCAGAUCCAGGCUGGAGCUGGAGAAAUUCUGGGUCCCGGAACGUUCCUUUUCCUCCCUCUGAGAAUAAAAGCAGCUCCUCCAAAAUAAGGGCUGAGGUUGACCUCCAUACCUGCCUUCUGCCUGGAAACCACUGCAGUCAGGAAGGUGAAGGUCUGUGACGAGGCAGCCCCUGGUGGGAAAGGACGACGGCCUGAACAGCCUCAGGCCGCCCACCCCAGGCUCCCCUGUCCCCUGACGGCCACCUCCCAGUCCCUGGGCCUCUGAGGGCUCACCUGAGACCUACUCGCCCACGGGGAGCACCCCCUCUCUUGCAACGUCUAUGGCUGCUUGAGACCACGAGCCACCUCUUCCGCGGGACUGGCCUUGGCCUUGAGCUCUGAUG